CAGGCUGUAGCUCUCAGCUAUUGCUCCAGUACCUGCCUGCACGAGCCCAUGCUCCCCACCAUGAUGAUAAUGGACUAAACCUCUGAAAGGCCUGAUAACUGCAGAAGGAAGACCUGAGUAUCUACAAAGUAGAUACUUAUGGACUUUGUGCUAUGGCAUCAAGAUGACAUCUCAUUAUCUAGCAUGUGAACUAUUGUACUCUGGGCUUGGGCAACUACAUCCUCUAAGGACCCAGUGAAUUCAACAUGUGCUAUUGGGUCAAGAGUAGGUCGGAGAUCCCAAGGCCAGUGAGAGAACGCAAGAUGCGCAAGCAAGCAGUACAGCGCUGGAGUCUGUCGCGGGAUCAGAGAAGCAACACCGGCAUUACACACGCACAGCCCGCGACGUGCGCCCCAUCAGGGCCGGCCCUAGACAAUCCUUCCAUUAAGGCUCCGCCCGCUCCACCGCCCUCUAGGUUCCAUGCUCCUUGCUCCUCAACCACUCAACCCGGUCUCCACGUAGCCGUUCCCCGGCUACGGAUUGCGCAACUCGGGCCGCUAGGCGGAGCCUGGACGUAGGCGGGGCGACG
rnacentral:lncRNA from 1 species